rnacentral:rRNA from 1 species
UGGGGAAUAUUGGACAAUGGGCGGAAGCCUGAUCCAGCAACGCCGCGUGAGGGAUGACGGCCUUCGGGUUGUAAACCUCUUUCAGUACCGACGAAGCGCCCGUUGUGGGUGGUGACGGUAGGUACAGAAGAAGCACCGGCCAACUACGUGCCAGCAGCCGCGGUAAUACGUAGGGUGCGAGCGUUGUCCGGAAUUAUUGGGCGUAAAGGGCUCGUAGGCGGUUUGUCGCGUCGGGAGUGAAAACCAUGGGCUUAACUCAUGGCUUGCUUUCGAUACGGGCAGACUAGAGGUAUGCAGGGGAGAACGGAAUUCCUGGUGUAGCGGUGAAAUGCGCAGAUAUCAGGAGGAACACCGGUGGCGAAGGCGGUUCUCUGGGCAUUACCUGACGCUGAGGAGCGAAAGUGUGGGGAGCGAACA